AUGAUGUUAACCUAGUUGAGAUGAUCAGAUCCAUGGUGUGUUGGGCUUUUUUAACUUAAUUUUAGGCCGAAGGCAGGUGGAGGAUAGCUUGCAACACAAAGGUUGGAGGAGAAGAUGCCAUGUUCCUCUUUGAUGGCAAUCUACACAUGUAUAAAGACUACACAUACCACGGAUGAAGACGAAGGAGAAGAAGGAGACAACAAGAUUUACGUGGUUCGGCCAAAAAGUGCCACAUCUAUGGGAUGGAUCUCUUUCCUUGAUAUUUUAUAAGAUGAGUAAAAUGAUUUUUCUUCUUCUUAAUUUUCUUUUCUUUAUAUGUGAAGGAUAUGUAGGUGAAAAACUAGCAAAUAUUUUGAAUACACCUUUAUAUUUGUAGGUGUUUACAGUGAAAAAAAGAGAGUAAAAUAACAUAAAAUAAAACUAAUUUGUUGGAAUUCAAGUUUCUACAAAUUCCACCUUACAUCCAACUUUAAUAGCUUUUGAGAUCCUUCCAACCUUCUAACUUUAUCAUCAUUUUUCACGUAAGUUGAAGUCUACUAACUCAAAGCGUUUUUGUAGCUUCAUCUUUGGAACGAGCUUGGUGAGCAUAUUGGCAGCAUUUUCAGAGAAACUGCAACUUAGAAAAAGUGGAAUCGACGCACGUAGAUUGGAACAAAGAACAGGCAGUGGCUGCUUCACGGUCAGCGGACAAAGAAUGCAGCAGCGGCACUCCACGAUGUGCGGCGGUCAGACGCGAGGGAAAAUUGAUCUGGGUCAGUCGGAUGAGGAAACGUGACAGCAUAGUGUGAUGGCGUGACUGACUGACGUCAGCUACAGGUGCGGCGGCAGCGAAGCUUCGCAAACGGAGGCAGAUCAGAGCAGCAAUGAACCAACGAUUCCAAUCUAGACUGCGCGACGGAGGCUGUGACCUUGAUGGAACCGAAAGUGGAGUCCUGCAUGAGACAGAUUUAUGUGCGAACGGGACGUGAGGCUUGACGCUUGGCUUGCGCGACCCGAACGACGGACGUUGAAUGCUGAAGAACGGCCGAAGAACUGAAGAGAAAGUUGGUCGGACGAAGCAUGAAGAAAGACAGCGGUUGCUUGGUGGAUAGAGAACAACGGUGAGGUUAGGGAGAAAAUAACAAAAAGAAGAUGGAGAAUUGGGGAAAGAGAUGCACGAAAAUCGACAUAUUUAUAACCUAUAGCAAAUUUUUGGAUUCUAUCACUGUAACAUAUCAAUAGCUACCCGUGAUAAAAUUGUUGUAAAUAUUCGGUAAAAUUCGCUAUAGAUUGUAAAUAUUUUGUAAAAUUUGCUAUUUUUGGAAA